AGUGACAGCCAUUGACUAAUAUCCUACUUCCAGGACAUGGCCAUUCGUGGUCUCGGGAAGACCGGACUCUGACACCAAAGAAGUUUCCGCAGCCAACAGACUAUGUGGAACCACCGCUUAAAUCGGACUGGAACUCACUUGAUGGGAUUAUUCGUUAAAUGCGAGUGUUUGGGGGCCACGGAGAGAAGGGAGAGCUCGUGAGAUGGGAAGAAGUUUCCGCUGGAUUCUCCUUGACCCUUCCCCUUUCCCUGGAACUGUGAUCGUGACAGGUGGCGGGUGUGGCUGUCACUGCACAGCGCCCACGGCUACAGCUGCGCCGGAUCUGGGCGACCACGUUUUGCCUCUCCAAAAAGAGCUUCCUU
rnacentral:lncRNA from 1 species